ensembl:lncRNA
CAGCCCUAAUUGAGUUCACCCUAACUGAGUUGUUGCUAGUUAAUGAGCCUGUUUACAUGAAGACUCAAAUCCUUCUUUCUCCCUUAGAUUCUCUGGCAUCAUUAAAUCUUCUAAACAUUAGGGAACAUCUCUAAAUGCAAGUCUUGGACAUCACCGCGCUCAGCACACCCCAUGUUCUGGAACAGUCAGGGGACUCCCUAACAGAGGCCAGUUUUCAUCCAAGGAGUAGCUAAAACCCUGUGAGUUUUGAGGUUACUAAGUCCUCCUCAAUGUGCUCACCUGGGAUGGUGUGGAAAGCUUUGGAACCACGCUGGCCUGGGUUAGGAUCCCAGUCUAUCGCUUGCUAUCUUUGUGGCCUUGGGCAAUUUACCUAACCUCUCUGAACUUGUUUUCUUAUCCCAAAAAAAAAAAAAGAAAGAAAUGAAACACCAAAGCAAAACAAAACAAAAAACUACGAGCCUUGUAGGGUUACUGUGGGAUUAGAUGAAAUCAAGGUAUGCAGUUGGUACCUAAUACAUACCAGCUCUCCUCCCCCUCCUUCUGCCUGCCAAGGUGAUUAACAUUCUGCAGAGACAAGAACAGCCAAGCAACUUUCUCUAAAAGAAGAUUCGUUUCUCUGUUCACGUUUUUCCUGGAAGGGCACUAACAGGAAACCUUAGACUGGCAGGAGCACCUUCACUUUGGUCCUUCUGCGCAGUAAUAAAAGGUUCCCACAGAGCCUCACCCGCCUGGAGCUGGCGUGUAUGACAUGAUAUGAACCACGUGCGUCCAUUGGAAAAUGGCUGUCUUGCCAUCUAUGGCCACCAGGAGGUCAGGGCUCGCAUCUCCCACUCACCUGGGCCACUAGUCAGCCUCGCUUCGGUCCGUCUUCCACUCUUGCCCUCCCCGAAGACACUUCUUCCGCGGAGGCCAAAUCUCAAAAUGCAAAUCUGCAAAUCCAGUUACAGACGCCUGCUCUGCCCCCUCCAUCGUCUUUCCUGCAAACCCCAACGCGGCCCACCCGCUGCCUACCACUCCUGUCCCCGUCCCGGCCUCCUCUCUCCCGGAAGCUGGACCUUCCUUCUCCCGGAAGCUGCACCAGCCACAGAAUCUCCGAGACUCUGGCUGCCCAGCUCCUCCAUAAUAACCAGGCAUGGAUGAGACAGAGAUUUUACAACCCUCACUGGAAUAUCCUGCUGCCUGAAAAAGCACCACGGACCUGGAGUCUUGAAACCAGAGGCAGCCCGAAUCCAGCCACUGUCCCUGCUCCUCAGCAGGGUUGAUUAAUUCAGUUUGUGACAACAGGGGCUCCUAGGCAGUUCCCCAUUUGCCUCUGCAGGGCCACCGUCCAGCCUCUUCCCUCAGGUCUUGCUGGAUCCUCCUAACCCUGUCGUCUUCCCAGGCCCAGGUGGCAUUGGCUGCCAGCUGUCGCCACCCCAAGGUGCCUCGCCACCAUUCCUUCACCAGGAUUUGCCUGAUGGUCCAGUGGAUAGGAAUCUGCUUGCCAACACGAGGGACAUGGGUUUGAUCUCUGGUCAGAGAAGAUUCCACAUGCCUCAGGACAACUAAGCCCAUGGGCCACAGAACUAUUGAGCCCACGUGCCCCAGAGCCCAAGUUCGACAAGAGAAGCCACAGCAAUGAUAAGCCUGUAUGACACUCCUACAGAGGAGCUGGCCUCAGCAAUGAAGACCCAUCACAGCCAAAAAUAAAUAGGAAAAUAAAGUUGUUUAAAAAAAAAAAGCUUCCACUCCCAUGACCAUUGUCUGAGGUUCAACAGCAGGAGUUUAUCAAAGAAGGGGAACAUCCAGCUAAGACUAGUACCUCAGAAGGUUUAACAGAAGGUUAGAAACACACCUAUUUUAAGGUUUGCAGCCUAAAUGUCACAUAGGAAUAAAAAGGAACCCCAGUGAAGGACUCCUCACAUAGAAUUCCAUCACAAAUUAAUCACAGGUUAUCAUAAGUUGAGGGAAAUGGCAGUAUAGCAGAAAAAAUUUAUUUUAAUUUAUACCUCUAAUUAAGCAACAUUUGAAACUUUUCUGUUUAGUUGAAAGUCUGUUUAUCUACUGCUGAAUAAUAAAAUACCCCCAAACAUAUAUACAUAUGUGUGUGUGUAUAAUUCACAUACCAUUAAAUUCCCCCUAAGGCAUACAAUUCAGUGGUUUUUUCAGUAUAUUCACAAAUUGGUCAGACUAUCACCGCUAACUCCAGAACAUAUAGUGUCAAGUGUAAACUGUUAGUCGCUCAGCAGUGUCCAGCUCUUUGCAACUCCAUGACUGUAGCCUCCCAAGCUC